rnacentral:tRNA from 1 species
AGGGGGACCCGAUGAAGUCUCAACAGCCAAAAACUAAACAAAUCGCUGUCGAGACAUCGGUAUCCCGAGGUCGUAACAAGGGAAAAAAGAAAGAGAAGGAUCAAGGCUUUCAAACUCUGUCAACGGAACGGGUCAAACAACGGGCUAUUAGCUCAGGUGGUUAGAGCGCACCCCUGAUAAGGGUGAGGUCCCUGGUUCGAGUCCAGGAUAGCCCAGACGUCUGAACAAGGCGAAAAAUCGGCCCAAAAGAUUGACAAGUGCCAUCGAAUCAUGGUAGAUUUGACAUCCUGCCCAAAAAAGAAAGGCGAGUUCAGCACCUUAUCUGAGUGACUCAGAGAGAAUGCUGGAUUUCUAAAAAAGUCCAGACAGCACCUUGAAAACUGCAUA